AUGCCAUCUUUUGGACUAUGCUGCCAACAUGGCAAAGUUGAUUUGCCACCAUUAAGAGAUCCCCCAACUUACCUUGCGAAAUUGCUAAGGAAAGACAAUGGAAAGAGGUCAAAAAACUGCUUGCAAAAUAUCAGAUUGUACAACUCCAUGUUUACUUUCACAACAAUGGGAGGAAAAGCAGACAAACAAAUAAACAAUGGCAUUGGACCAUAUGUUCUUAGAAUGAAUGAGAAAAACUACCACAAAAUAGGUACUGUACUGCCUGAAGGUAAAGAUAAACCACAGUGGGCACAAUUGUACAUCUAUGACACUGGAAAUAAGGUAUGA
rnacentral:rRNA from 1 species